rnacentral:lncRNA from 1 species
UGAAAUUCAUGAAAACGUAUUCUGGCCAGAUUUACCUUAUGUAACUGAUGAACAUGGAAGUAAGAUAAUAAUCUUUUGUUUAUAAUUCUCAUGUUUAUUACGGGUAGCAAUUGUUUGGUUAAGCAGCAUUGUCGUUAAUACUUUUAUUUACUUAUUGUCAGAUAUAUACUUUCAAGUGAAGAAUGAUGAAGAUAUUUUGCAAACCUUAUCCACCGAGGAAAACAUUGUGGUAAGAUUUGUUCUAUAAAAUUGAUUCCGUUUAAUUAAUAAGUUAUUAUUUUGGGACACUAAAACUGUUUUUCUCCUAUGAAGUGUAAUACUCCUAUUGCUCGUCGUCUGUUAUGUUUUCUCCUAUAUAGGUCUAAUUAUUCCUAAAUUCUUUAAUGUUUUCUCUUUCUGGUGUUUAAUAUGUUAAAAAUUUCUGAUAUGGCAAACAUAAUGGUAUACAUCAUCUGUCUGCAGCUUGAAAAAAGUAAAAUUUUUUUAUCUUUUCUUCACUACAUGCAUUAUCCAACUUUAAAUGAUUGUUUUGAAGCCAUACUUGAUUUUAAAAAAUGCAGCAAGUUAUUAUUGGACUGGAUACUGCAGAGAUGAUUAGUGAGGUUGAGUUGCUAGGUCAUUCAGAAAUUGAUUUUGGCAUUGAUGAGUUAGAUGAUGAAGAUAGUGAUUUCCAUGAUGAAGAGGACGAUGACACUGAAAACGAUAACUAUGGAAAGGUGGUAACUUUUCCUUCAAUUCCCCCUUCAAGUUUCAGAUUGUAGUUUUCUGCAGUAUGUGGACAUUGAUAUUGUUCAUCUGCAGGACUGGGUUGGUGUUCUUGAUGAUGAAGAAGAAGAUCUGGAUGAGGACUCUGAUGGAUCCAUAGGGGACUGGGCUAAAUUGGAGACCAUGCGGUCUUCUCAUCCAAUGCAUUUUGCCAAAAAGCUAGUUGAGGUGACUCUCCUAAUCAAAUUUGCUACAUAGUGUAGUAUUAGAAAAGUAGAUCGAAAAAAGUGGAACAUGGAAUACCAUUCUACUAAAUUGACUUUCCGACUAAAAUUACUAUAAUAUUUUUGCCUUUAUUUUGUCAUCGUCAUAUUCCCUUCUCUAAUUUAAAAUGAAUCAAGUUAAUACACCAUCAUAUAUCCAUUUUUGUGAAUCUAUUUUUGUUACAGGUUGUGUCUGAUAAUCCAGAUGAAUAUAUGGAGCAGCCUUCUGCUGGUCUUGCCAUACAAGGCCUCCUAAGACCUGCAUUUAUUGAAGAACACUCUGUCAUCCAGAACCAUAAAUCUAGUGGUGCUGAUACUAAUUACAUUUCUGAAGAACAAAUUCAAGAAGCCAUUUUUCAGAUCAAUGGUCACAAACCCGAAAAUGAAACUAUGCAAGGUAGCCCAAAUUUGGCAGGGGAAUUGGAGAAGGAUGAAAUGCUGGGAAAUGGAACUUUAUUUUACAAGCUAGAGAUGAUUAAAAUUCAGUUAGUUUCAUCACAUGGACAUCCGGUACUUUUGAUUUUUCUUUGAGAAUCUCAAGAUUGCAUGGUGCUCUCAUUUCUUCUGACCUUUACUUCUUCAUAUUUAAACUUUUUUGGUUCUCAUACUUGAGAAAGCUGCUGAAUCUACUCUAUUUUCUGCCUCUUUUGUAACUCUGCAUGUUCACAACUAUGUUUUGAUAGCAAUCCUAAAGUUGGCAGAAGUCAUCCAUGCCAUUUAGUGAAAUUUCUUUCAGCAUAUAUAUGUUCCAUGUACACAAUAUAGUUAUCUGUGGCGUGUUUAUUUCAUCUAAUAUUAGAAUGGAGAUGAAAAGUUUUGCUUGAUUCCUCUUCUUUUUCUUAAAAUACUCUGCUUUCAUGUCCUUGCAAUUGUUUACUAUCAGAAAUGAUACGUAGGGACCUGAAAAGGAGUUGUAGAGGAUAGAUGAGGAAAAGAAGAUGAAGGAAAUUAUGCUAUCAAUUUUCCCAUUACCCCAUGUUGAAUGAAAAACGUUUAUUUCUCUUUCUGAAAGCAGUGGGCUUUAAAUGGCAAACAACGAUUGGGAUGAGAAUAUCCCCCAAAUAGUAGGGGGCAGCCUUCCGUUUGAUACUAAUAGAUAUAUCUUUUGUACUCAAGGUCCAUCUCAAAUAUCGUAAAUAUCAACACCUCAAAUGAUGAACCUUCUUAUCAUUAGGGCAUGUUCUUAACUUGAACCAACUGUUUGACUUGAGAAAUAACUUGACUCUGUGUUUGCAAGUAUGCUGCUGCAAUGACUUGGCUGUACAAAUUUGACAUCCCAGACUUUGUGUCAGAUGUAUUUGAACAAAUAUAGAUUGUAAUGUACUUGACAGUUGCCUUUCUAUGCUACGUAUACUGAUGCGAUUAAAUUUCAAAUAGUAUUACGCAUUGAAUGCACCACUUUGAGGUGGUCUAUCCUUUUGCUAUUAGGAUGGGAAAGCAUAAAUUACUUUUUUUGUUCUGUUUGUGCUUUCUACAGAAUUUUGUUGAUAUAGAAGAUUUUAUGAAAGCUCAACCUGAUGCAAUAGUACAUUCAGCUGCAAAAAUUAUAUCUCGUGUCAAAUCUGGUGGAGAAAAGACUACACAAGCUCUCAAAUCUCUGUGCUGGAGAUGCAAGGGUAUUCAAGUGGAGGUGACACAAUGGAGUUAUAUUAAUCUGUAAUUGUAUCAUGCCUGUUAACUUGAAGUAAACUUUGCAUUGUUUGUAACUUGGAAAAUUGACAUGAAAAUAAGAUUAUAAUUUCACCCAUUCUUUGGUGACAUUUACAGCAUGAAGAAAGUGAGAGGAAUCAAUAUCUACUUCUCCUCACCCAUCUCUUCAUGAACAAGGCCUUUUAAACUUAUUCCCUCCUGGAAACUUAGUACUUACUUUUGCGAGAUUAAUUUGUUAAGAAUUUAAAUUGUGUAUGAAAAGUUACGUUCAUAAUAUUGGACCCUCAUCCAGUUGACGUUCUAUAUACUCUCUUGCAAUAUAUUGUCUUGGAAUACAAGAGAAGGCCAUCUAACAUAUUAAGAGAGAGUCAGAAAAGUUAUUUUUCUGCAAGCAAGUUCUUUUGCUAAUUUUAUAUAUUGAAUUUGUGACAGGAGGUGGCUCUUAUAGGUGUAGACAGCCUUGGUUUUGACUUAAGAAUUUGCUGUGGAACACAAGUACAAACAUUGCGUUUUGCAUUUAAGAAGAGGGUAUAUACUUUUUGUUCUUUACUUUUAUAUUCCAUCAAUUUCAUAUGCUCGUACUCAUCUUGGACCCAUGUGUUUGCAAUGAAAGAACAAUCUCUCUUAUCGUGAUGCAUGGCCUGGACUAUAUACAAAAUAGUGAAAAUUACCUUUUUAUAUAUCUCUCUCCUCUCCCUCUUUAACAAGUUGAUUUCCAGGCCUCUUCGGAGUAUAGCGCUGAAAGACAGUUGAAUGAUCUACUGUUUCCAAGAGUCCACAAGUUUCAACAAAAGAAAGAAUCUCAACAGACUGAAUCAUAACAUAUAGGUAUUCAAGUUCAUUUCUGUUUGUUCACCUCGUGUGCAUGUUUUAAAAGUUGUAUGCGAACAGCACAAGGGGAAUUCUUUUCUUGUUACCAGUUUCCUUGUAUCUUAACUGCUAGGUGAUUACUUUUAUUCUCUCUAUUUUAUCCCGGCCUCAACUGUAUAAGCUGAAUUUUGGUUUUGAUUGUGCUAUUCUAAAGGCAUCCACUGUUUACGCUGCUUAUGUACUUCUUGAGACUGAU